UUUGAUGAGCGCAGCCUGAUCAGCAUGCCGCGUGUGUGAAGAAGGCCUUCGGGUUGUAAAGCACUUUUGUCCGGAAAGAAAACGCCGUGGUUAAUACCCGUGGCGGAUGACGGUACCGGAAGAAUAAGCACCGGCUAACUACGUGCCAGCAGCCGCGGUAAUACGUAGGGUGCAAGCGUUAAUCGGAAUUACUGGGCGUAAAGCGUGCGCAGGCGGUCCGCUAAGACAGAUGUGAAAUCCCCGGGCUUAACCUGGGAACUGCAUUUGUGACUGGCGGGCUAGAGUAUGGCAGAGGGGGGUAGAAUUCCACGUGUAGCAGUGAAAUGCGUAGAGAUGUGGAGGAAUACCGAUGGCGAAGGCAGCCCCCUGGGCCAAUACUGACGCUCAUGCACGAAAGCGUGGGGAGCAAACAGGAUUAGAUACCCUGGUAGUCCACGCCCUAAACGAUGUCAACUAGUUGUCGGGUCUUCAUUGACUUGGUAACGUAGCUAACGCGUGAAGUUGACCGCCUGGGGAGUACGGUCGCAAGAUUAAAACUCAAAUGAAAAUUGACGGA
rnacentral:rRNA from 1 species